rnacentral:rRNA from 1 species
AUGGAGAGUUUGAUCCUGGCUCAGGAUGAACGCUGGCGGUAUGCCUGACACAUGCAAGUCGAACGAGAAAACUUUGUUUUCUAGUGGCGCACGGGUGAGUAACGCGUAAGAAUCUACCUUUAGGUAGAGGAUAACAAUUGGAAACGAUUGCUAAUACUCUAUAAGCUGAGAAGUGAAAUGAUAUAUUUAUAUAUAUUGCCUAGAGAUGAGCUUGCGUCUGAUUAGCCUGUUGGUAGGGUAAAAGCUUACCAAAGCUAUAAUCAGUAGCUGGUCUGAGAGGAUAGACAGCCACACCGGAACUUAGAUACGGUCCGGACUCCUACGGGAGGCAGCAGUGAGGAAUUUUCCGCAAUGGGCGAAAGCCUGACGGAGCAAUACCGCGUGGAGGAUGAAAGCCUAUGGGUUGUAAACUCCUUUUCUUAGAGAAGAAGUUCUGACGGUAUCUAAAGAAUAAGCAUCGGCUAACUCCGUGCCAGCAGCCGCGGUAAUACGGGGGAUGCAAGCGUUAUCCGGAAUUAUUGGGUGUAAAGCGUCUGUAGGUUGCUUACUUAAGUCAGUUGUUAAAUUUCAGAACUCAAUUUUGAUACCAGCAACUGAAACUAAUAAGCUAGAGUCAAGUAGAGGUAGAAGGAACUCCGAGUGUAGCGGUGAAAUGCGUAGAUAUUCGGAAGAACACCGAUGGCGAAAGCAUUCUGCUGGACUUGUACUGACACUGAGAGACGAAAGCGAGGGGAGAGAAUGGGAUUAGAUACCCCAGUAUUCCUCGCCGUAAACGAUGGAUAUUAGGUAUUAGGUAAAAUUAUUUAGUACUGAAGCUAACGCGUUAAAUAUCCCACCUGGGGAGUAUGCUCGCAAGAGUGAAACUUAAAGGAAUUGACGGGGGCCCGCACAAGCGGUGGAGCAUGUGGUUUAAUUCGAAGCAACGCGCAGAACCUUACCAACCCUUGACAUCCUCAGCUACAUCGAGAGAUCGAUGGUUCCCUUCGGGGACUGAGUGACAGGUGCUGCAUGGCUGUCGUCAGCUCGUGUCGUGAGAUGUUCGGUUAAGUCCGGCAACGAGCGCAACCCACAUCCCUAGUUGCCAGCAGUUCGGCUGGGCACUCUAUGGAAACUGCCCGUGAUAAGCGGGAGGAAGGUGUGGAUGACGUCAAGUCCUCAUGGCCCUUACGGGUUGGGCUACACACGUGCUACAAUGGCAGUGACAAUGGGUUAAUCCCAAAAAAACUGUCUCAGUUCGGAUUGUCGUCUGCAACUCGACGGCAUGAAGUCGGAAUCGCUAGUAAUCGCGUAACAGCAUGACGCGGUGAAUACGUUCCCGGGCCUUGUACACACCGCCCGUCACACCACGGAAAUUGGCUACACCCAAAGCUAUUACCUUAACCAAAUUUAGGAGAGGGGUAUCUAAGGUGGAGUUAAUAACUGGGGUGAAGUCGUAACAAGGUAGCCGUAGGGGAACCUGCGGCUGGAUCACCUCCUU